UGAUCCUGGCUCAGGACGAACGCUGGCGGCGUGCUUAACACAUGCAAGUCGAACGGGAAGAGAUGAAGAGCUUGCUCUUUAUCGAAUCCAGUGGCAAACGGGUGAGUAACACGUAAACAACCUGCCUUCAGGAUGGGGACAACAGACGGAAACGACUGCUAAUACCGAAUACGUUCCACGGGUCGCAUGACCUGUGGAAGAAAGGGUAGCCUCUACCUGUAAGCUAUCGCCUGAAGAGGGGUUUGCGUCUGAUUAGGCAGUUGGUGGGGUAACGGCCCACCAAACCAACGAUCAGUAGCCGGUCUGAGAGGAUGAACGGCCACACUGGAACUGAGACACGGUCCAGACUCCUACGGGAGGCAGCAGUGGGGAAUCUUCCGCAAUGGACGAAAGUCUGACGGAGCAACGCCGCGUGAGUGAUGACGGCCUUCGGGUUGUAAAGCUCUGUUAAUCGGGACGAAAGGCCUUCUUGCGAAUAGUGAGAAGGAUUGACGGUACCGGAAUAGAAAGCCACGGCUAACUACGUGCCAGCAGCCGCGGUAAUACGUAGGUGGCAAGCGUUGUCCGGAAUUAUUGGGCGUAAAGCGCGCGCAGGCGGCUUCCUAAGUCCAUCUUAAAAGUGCGGGGCUUAACCCCGUGAUGGGAUGGAAACUGGGAAGCUGGAGUAUCGGAGAGGAAAGUGGAAUUCCUAGUGUAGCGGUGAAAUGCGUAGAGAUUAGGAAGAACACCGGUGGCGAAGGCGACUUUCUGGACGAAAACUGACGCUGAGGCGCGAAAGCGUGGGGAGCAAACAGGAUUAGAUACCCUGGUAGUCCACGCCGUAAACG
rnacentral:rRNA from 1 species